CCGGCUGUCACUUACAGAUGGGCCCGCGGCGCAUUAGCUAGUUGGUGAGGUAACGGCUCACCAAGGCAACGAUGCGUAGCCGACCUGAGAGGGUGAUCGGCCACACUGGGACUGAGACACGGCCCAGACUCCUACGGGAGGCAGCAGUAGGGAAUCUUCCGCAAUGGACGAAAGUCUGACGGAGCAACGCCGCGUGAACGAUGAAGGCUUUCGGGUCGUAAAGUUCUGUUGUCAGGGAAGAACAAGUAUCGGAGUAACUGNCCGGUACCUUGACGGUACCUGACCAGAAAGCCACGGCUAACUACGUGCCAGCAGCCGCGGUAAUACGUAGGUGGCAAGCGUUGUCCGGAAUUAUUGGGCGUAAAGCGCGCGCAGGCGGUUCCUUAAGUCUGAUGUGAAAGCCCCCGGCUCAACCGGGGAGGGUCAUUGGAAACUGGGGAACUUGAGUGCAGAAGAGGAGAGCGGAAUUCCACGUGUAGCGGUGAAAUGCGUAGAGAUGUGGAGGAACACCAGUGGCGAAGGCGGCUCUCUGGUCUGUAACUGACGCUGAGGCGCGAAAGCGUGGGGAGCGAACAGGAUUAGAUACCCUGGUAGUCCACGCCGUAAACGAUGAGUGCUAAGUGUUAGAGGGUUUCC
rnacentral:rRNA from 1 species